rnacentral:rRNA from 1 species
GACGAACGCUGGCGGCGUGCCUAAUACAUGCAAGUAGAACGCUGAAGGAGGAGCUUGCUUCUCCGGAUGAGUUGCGAACGGGUGAGUAACGCGUAGGUAACCUGCCUGGUAGCGGGGGAUAACUAUUGGAAACGAUAGCUAAUACCGCAUAAGAGUAGAUGUUGCAUGACAUUUGCUUAAAAGGUGCAAUUGCAUCACUACCAGAUGGACCUGCGUUGUAUUAGCUAGUUGGUGGGGUAACGGCUUACCAAGGCGACGAUACAUAGCCGACCUGAGAGGGUGAUCGGCCACACUGGGACUGAGACACGGCCCAGACUCCUACGGGAGGCAGCAGUAGGGAAUCUUCAGCAAUGGACGGAAGUCUGACCGAGCAACGCCGCGUGAGUGAAGAAGGUUUUCGGAUCGUAAAGCUCUGUUGUAAGAGAAGAACGAGUGUGAGAGUGGAAAGUUCACACUGUGACGGUAUCUUACCAGAAAGGGACGGCUAACUACGUG